rnacentral:ncRNA from 1 species
UAAGGAUUGGCUCUGAGGACUGAGCCGGUCGGGCUGGGGACCUGAAGCAGGAACGGCACUGCACCGGGACUGGGCGGGGCUCGCCGUUCACGCGGCGCGGCCAAGCCCGGACCAGCGUCGGGACCUUCCUGUGGAAAGCCUCAGCUGCGCGGCGUCUGAGGGCUUCGUGCCCAAAGUGCUAUGCUUCGGCCGGCAAAAAACAGUCAACUCAGAACUGGCACGGACCGGGGGAAUCCGACUGUCUAAUUAAAACAAAGCAUUGCGAUGGCCGCUGGUCGGUGUUGACGCAAUGUGAUUUCUGCCCAGUGCUCUGAAUGUCAACGUGAAGAGAUUCAUCAAAGCGCGGGUAAACGGCGGGAGUAACUAUGACUCUCUUGUGGUAGCCAAAUGCCUCGUCAUCUAAUUAGUGACGCGCAUGAAUGGAUUAACGAGAUUCCCACUGUCCCU